rnacentral:rRNA from 1 species
GACGAACGCUGGUGGCGUGCCUAACACAUGCAAGUCGAACGGGAUCUAGUAAACAGAAGCCUCGGUGGAAGAUCACUAAUGAGAGUGGCGAACGGGUGAGUAACGCGUGAGCAACCUGCCUAUGACAGGGGGAUAGCCUCGGGAAACCGGGAUUAAUACCGCAUAAAAUCGUAGAAACACAUGUUUUACCGUUCAAAGGUUUAUCGGUCAUAGUGGGGCUCGCGUCUGAUUAGCUAGUUGGUGAGAUAACAGCCCACCAAGGCGAGGAUCAGAAGCCGGGAUGAGAGGAAGGGCGGAGACACUGAAGCUGGGACGCAGUGGGAACUCCUACGGGAGGGGGGAAAGGGGGAUCUUGCACUAUGGGGGAAGCGAUGAUGGAGCUCCGCCGGUAGAACGAUGAAGGUAGUCAUAAAGAAAAGUUCUGUCCUAUGGGAAGAUAAUGACGGUACCAAAGAAGAAAGCUCCGGCUAACUACGUG